rnacentral:rRNA from 1 species
GGCCUGGUUGGGUGGUCUUGCCGCAAGGUAAGCACUGCUCCGAUCGGGUCUUUCCUUCUGGGGAACCAGCGUGCUCUUAAUUGGGUGCGUUGGGGAUCCAGGACUUUUACUUUGAAAAAAUUAGAGUGUUCAAAGCAGGCACACGCUUGUAUAGAUUAGCAUGGAAUAAUGGAAUAGGAC